GGACCAAUAUGUCGGUCGUGCCUCGGUACGUACUGGCAUCGUUGGUUUCUCCCUUCUGACGAACCAUGAUGUCAUUUAUUUGGUGUCGUGGGGAAUCAGGACUGUUACUUUGAAAAUUAGAGUGUUUAAAGCAGGCUCACGCUUGAAUACAUUAGCAUGGAAUAAUGAAAUAGGACGUUUGAUUCUAUUUUGUUGGUUUCUAGGACCGACGUAAUGAUUAAUAGGGAUAGUUGGG
rnacentral:rRNA from 2 species